CUGAAGUUGGUGGUGGUCGGAAAGCUAUCAUAAUCUUUGUUCCCGUUCCUCAACUGAAAUCUUUCCAGAAAAUCCAAGUCCGGCUAGUACGCGAAUUGGAGAAAAAGUUCAGUGGGAAGCAUGUCGUCUUUAUCGCUCAGAGGAGAAUUCUGCCUAAGCCAACUCGAAAAAGCCGUACAAAAAAUUUGGACAAAGCACAGCAGAACAAUGUGGAACACAAGGUUGAAACUUUUUCUGGUGUCUAUAAGAAGCUCACGGGCAAGGAUGUUAAUUUUGAAUUCCCAGAGUUUCAAUUGUAAACAAAAAUGGCUAAAUAAAAAGUAU
rnacentral:lncRNA from 1 species